rnacentral:rRNA from 1 species
CAGUAGCCGCGGUAAUACGGAGGGUGCAAGCGUUAUCCGGAUUCACUGGGUUUAAAGGGUGCGUAGGCGGAUCUGUAAGUUAGUGGUGAAAUCUCCAGGCUUAACCUGGAAACUGCCGUUGAUACUAUAGGUCUUGAAUUUUGUGGAGGUUAGCGGAAUAUGUCAUGUAGCGGUGAAAUGCAUAGAUAUGACAUAGAACACCAAUUGCGAAGGCAGCUGGCUACACAACUAUUGACGCUGAGGCACGAAAGCGUGGGGAUCAAACAGGAUUAGAUACCCCCGUAGUCCCUGUCUCUUAUAU